AUACGUAGGGGGCAAGCGUUGUCCGGAUUUAUUGGGCGUAAAGCGCUCGCAGGCGGCCGGCCGCGUCGUGCGUGAAGGCCCUCGGUUCAACCGUGGGUGGUCGCAGGGAACGGGUCGGCUGGAGGUAGGUAGGGGGACGCGGAAUUCCCGGUGUAGUGGUGGAAUGCGUAGAGAUCGGGAGGAACACCGGCGGCGAAGGCGGCGUCCGGGACCUGGCCGGACGCUCAGGAGCGAAAGCGUGGGGAGCGAUCCGGAUUAGAUACCCGGGUAGUCCACGCCGUAAACGAUGCGGACUAGGUGUCGGGGGUAUCGACCCCCUCGGUGCCGCAGCUAACGCGGUAAGUCCGCCGCCUGGGGAGUACGGCCGCAAGGCUAAAACUCAAAUGAAUUGGCGGGG
rnacentral:rRNA from 1 species